UUGAGUUUGCUACACACAAGUCCCUUCCUUUUUUUAGUUUAUGUGCUAUGUGAUGAUUGUGUUUUAAAAUUUAACUUGUUUUAGUUCCUUACAUUCUUAUAGGAUUCACACUCAAUGAGCAAGAAACAUCUCAGCAACUCAUUGGGAUCGAGCAGUCAAAAUUCAGAAUCAAGUGACACACAAGAGCUAGAUUUGGAGCUUAGACUGUCACUGUAAUCAGUAAUUUUUUUUACUACUUUAAAUGCAUGCUUAUGGAACUACAUUUUAUGCUUUCCUAGAAUUGUAAGGUCAAAUAAGGUGUUGAUCUACAAUUU
rnacentral:lncRNA from 1 species